AUUGAACGCUGGCGGCAGGCCUAACACAUGCAAGUCGAGCGGAAGAAGACUUCGGUCUUCGAGAGCGGCGGACGGGUGAGUAACGCGUGGGAAUCUGGCUCUUAGAGGGGGACAACUCGUGGAAACGCAAGCUAAUACCGCAUACGCCCUAAGGGGGAAAGCAGGGGAUCUUCGGACCUUGCGCUAAGAGAUGAGCCCGCGUCGGAUUAGCUAGUUGGUGGGGUAAAGGCCUACCAAGGCGACGAUCCGUAACUGGUCUGAGAGGAUGAUCAGUCAGACUGGAACUGAGACACGGUCCAGACUCCUACGGGAGGCAGCAGUGGGGAAUAUUGGACAAUGGGGGCAACCCUGAUCCAGCCAAGCCGCGUGUGUGAAGAAGACCUUCGGGUUGUAAAGCACUUUAAGUUGGGAGGAGAGGGUUGUGGCUAAUAUCCAUAAUCUAUGACGUUACCAACAGAAUAAGCACCGGCUAACUCCGUGCCAGCAGCCGCGGUAA
rnacentral:rRNA from 1 species